GAGUUUGAUCCUGGCUCAGGAUGAACGCUAGCGGGAGGCUUAACACAUGCAAGUCGAGGGGUAAGGUCAAGCUUGCUUGAUACACGACCGGCGCACGGGUGAGUAACGCGUAUGCAACCUACCUUUUACAGGAGGAUAGCCCGAAGAAAUUCGGAUUAAUACUCCAUAGUUUUGUUAGAUCGCAUGAUUUGAUAAAUAAAGCUCUGGCGGUAAAAGAUGGGCAUGCGUGCCAUUAGUUUGUUGGUGAGGUAACGGCUCACCAAGACUACGAUGGUUAUGGGGUCUUAAAGGAUGAUCCCACACACUGGUACUGAGACACGGACCAGACUCCUACGGGAGGCAGCAGUGAGGAAUAUUGGUCAAUGGGCGCAAGCCUGAACCAGCCAUCCCGCGUGAAGGAUGACAGUCCUAGAGAUUGUAAACUUCUUUUAUAUAGGAAGAAUAAGAACUACGUGUAGUUUGAUGACUGUACUAUAUGAAUAAGCACCGGCUAACUCCGUGCCAGCAGCCGCGGUAAUACGGAGGGUGCAAGCGUUAUCCGGAUUUAUUAGGUUUAAAGGGUGCGUAGGCGGAAGCUUAAGUCAGUGGUAAAAGGCAAUAGCUUAACUAUUGUAANGCCAUUGAAACUGGGUUUCUUGAGUUCGGUAGAGGUAGGCGGAAUGUGUUGUGUAGCGGUGAAAUGCAUAGAUAUAACACAGAACACCGAUUGCGAAGGCAGCUUACUAUGCCGUUACUGACGCUGAUGCACGAAAGCGUGGGUAUCAAACAGGAUUAGAU
rnacentral:rRNA from 1 species